rnacentral:misc_RNA from 1 species
GAUGAAGAACGUAGCGAAAUGCGAUAAGUAAUGUGAAUUGCAGAAUUCAGUGAAUCAUCGAAUCUUUGAACGCACCUUGCACCCUUUGGCAUUCCGAAGGGUAUGCUCGUUUGAGUGUCAUUGUACUCUCACACUUCUGAUCCUUUGGAUUGGGAGCGGUGGACUUGGGUGUUGCUGCUUUACUGUGGCUCACCUCAAAUGCAUUCGUGCAACUCUUGGUUGGACAUAGUACGGCGUGAUAAGUAUCUUCGCCGGCACCUCGCAAGAGGGUGGCUGAUCAGGAGCUCUGUGCUUUCCAACUAUCUUCAGACAACAACUGACAACUUGACCUCAAAUCGAGUAGGACCACCCGCUGAACUUAAGCAUAUCAAUAAGCGGAGGA